UUCCAGGGGGAAAGGUAUCAGUGUUACACAGCAACAGCAUAUAACUACAUAUAUGAAGGCCUGGUCAAACAACAUCCCCUUUCCCUUUCCUUUCCAUCUAAAAGGAAUGGAUAAAUCACCUUUCCGGUUCUUUCAGAUCUGCAAACACCAAAAAGUCUCUCUUUUAUCACCCUCCUGGUUUUGACCCUUGCCUGUCCUGACUCUGAGCCCGCCUACCUGACCACUAUGCCUGCCCCUGACCCUGAGACUGCCUGCCGACCUGUCCCUUUGCCCCCCUCUGGAUCACCGACCUCUGCCUUACCCUGAGCCUGCCUGCCGUCCGGGAAAGCCACGGACACAGUAGAGAUGACCAGGGAUGUUCAGUUGAUAAGUGCUUGGAUUUCACAAUUUUCCUGUCCUGCUGUAAGGUUCUGCUUUUCUUUUCUUAAGUCAACCUUGUGUUCUUUUUCUUGUGUUCUUGAACAUAGCCCUGUUUAUUUGUGUUCUGGAACGUAGCCCUGUCUUUCAUUUUUGGUCAUUGAUUUCACCUGUGUUUGUUUCUCACUAGCUCCUUAUUUAGUUAAUUUAUUUCUGUUUGUAUGGUUGUGAGGUAUUGUUUGUUUUUGACUGCCUACCUGUGUUUGACCAUUGCC